rnacentral:lncRNA from 1 species
CCGAAAUCAGUGGGCUGGAAUUGUUUCUUCACUUUGGGUGACUCCACUGUUACUCAAGGAAUGAACUGAUUGGCACCAAGCAAGAAGAACAGCACAUCUCUUUGGACUCAUUCCCUUAUUUAUAAGCCAUAACCUUAGGGACAAUAAGCUAGAGACCCUGCCAGCAUCCUUGAGCCAGGAUCUCAUCUGUUGUCACAGUAGCCAUGUUUCCCUGGCAUCCGAGAGCCCAAGGAUGCAAAUAAGGCCUGGGCCAAACUAAGCUCUGACAAUUAAUGUUAUUCCAAAGAGGCAGCAGCGAGGGUAGGAAGUUCUGGUCCCCUCAUCUUACUUCAAGUUUCACAGCCAAGAGUGAUGAUAGCUUUAGUCAGUAAGUACAGUCAAGGAGCCUAUGAGACAGAACUUGUCACAAAGACAGCUGAUGUUUCGCAUGGACCUUAACAGAGUAACUGGUGUCUCUUCAGGAAUGGGGCACAAUCCAGAGGUUACUAACCACGGAACAUUUACUGGAUUUGGUACUUGGCGAAAGAAACUGACAAAUUAAGAAAUGAGAGAGAGAAUAAAUGCACUGUGCAUGCUGAAACCCCAAGAAGACUUUUUUUCUCCUACUUUUUAUGGACCUGAGG